AUACACAUCCAUAUAUUCCCCAGCAGUCUGAGAUCAUACUCAGCUUUAAGAAUUAUACAUAUACGUAGUUCGUAGAGACAGCAUCCAUUGGAGGUCUGUUAUUCCAAUAUGCCCAAAGUAGAUUCGCUUGGGUAUUACGCCCUAUCGAUGUAUGUUAUUAGAUCUUAGUUGAUCCUUACAAUUUGUAGCUGUAGAUGAAAUAUAUCUCUAUAAAUAUAAAUAUUGAUAUAUGUAUUUAGUAAGAGCAGCUUCUCUCUUUUUGGCAAUCGAUUAGAGUAGUGCGAGUGCAAAAGCGAGAGAGCUGUAUAAAUAGAAAGAGAUAGAAAUAGAGAGCACUCUGUGCGACAUUGAUGAUAUACCAAUA